GAUGAACGCUGGCGGCGUGCCUAAUACAUGCAAGUCGAGCGAACAGACGAGGAGCUUGCUCCUCUGACGUUAGCGGCGGACGGGUGAGUAACACGUGGAUAACCUACCUAUAAGACUGGGAUAACUUCGGGAAACCUGAGCUAAUACCGGAUAAUAUAUUGAACCGCAUGGUUCAAUAGUGAAAGACGGUUUUGCUGUCACUUAUAGAUGGAUCCGCGCCGCAUUAGCUAGUUGGUAAGGUAACGGCUUACCAAGGCAACGAUGCGUAGCCGACCUGAGAGGGUGAUCAGCCACACUGGAACUGAGACACGGUCCAGACUCCUACGGGAGGCAGCAGUAGGGAAUCUUCCGCAAUGGGCGAAAGCCUGACGGAGCAACGCCGCGUGAGUGAUGAAGGUCUUCGGAUCGUAAAACUCUGUUAUUAGGGAAGAACAAAUGUGUAAGUAACUAUGCACGUCUUGACGGUACCUAAUCAGAAAGCCACGGCUAACUACGUG
rnacentral:rRNA from 1 species